AGUGAACGCUGGCGGCAGGCCUAACACAUGCAAGUCGAGCGGCAGCGGGUCCUUCGGGAUGCCGGCGAGCGGCGGACGGGUGAGGAAUGCAUCGGAAUCUGCCCUGUCGUGGGGGAUAACCUAGGGAAACUUAGGCUAAUACCGCAUACGACCCACGGGUGAAAGCGGGGGAUCGCAAGACCUCGCGCGAUAGGAUGAGCCGAUGUCCGAUUAGCUAGUUGGCGGGGUAAAGGCCCACCAAGGCGACGAUCGGUAGCUGGUCUGAGAGGAUGAUCAGCCACACUGGGACUGAGACACGGCCCAGACUCCUACGGGAGGCAGCAGUGGGGAAUAUUGGACAAUGGGCGCAAGCCUGAUCCAGCCAUGCCGCGUGGGUGAAGAAGGUCUUCGGGUUGUAAAGCCCUUUUGUCCGGGAAGAAAUCGUCUGGGCUAAUACCCCGGGCGGAUGACGGUACCGGAAGAAUAAGCACCGGCUAACUUCGUG
rnacentral:rRNA from 1 species